rnacentral:lncRNA from 1 species
GCGUACUGUCGUGCAAGCGCGGGCUGCGUGUGCGUCCGUCGCACUUUGAAUUCGUCAUCACCUCGGCUCCGGGCGGGGAAGGGGUGUGGAGUCUGUUGGCGGCUUCUGGAGCCAGACUGGACUCUGAUCCCGGAGCUCGUCCUUUCCCGUGCGAGCCUUCUCCGGACGCUUUAGGGAGGACCUUUGCAGUCGGCCCUGGGGGCGCGGGCUGCUGGCGUCCUCCUCGUCCUCCCCCCGCCCUCCUCCUCCUCCUCCUCUUCUUCCCUUGGCCUGAAAUAGAGAAGUUUCUGAGAGAGGACCGUUUGGACCGCGAGGUUGGCGGGAUGCAGUGAGGCACGCAAUGGCCGGCCUCACAAUGUUGCUCUGACUGGCUGAAGCAACGUAUGCGAGAAGCUGGGAUCUUUCUUAACCCACACCAGAGACAAGUGCUCGCAAAGACAUACCUGAAAUCAUUCACCAACAAAACUCGGAAGCAUGUAAAAACAAAGCAGUUGCUGUUUCUAAAUACCAGAAUGCAAUCCUUUCAAGCAUCUAGAUGGAGCCCAUGAGCUCCAAGCAGAGCAGUAAAUGACACAACCUCGGGGUUCGACGUGUGAUAAGGUAUCCUGUAACUACUCUUUGUACCGCUGGGAUCUACCCUGCUUCACUGGAUGACAUGCAGCCUUUUCUCUUAGCAACUGCAUGAAUAAACAUCCAAGAGAACUUG